rnacentral:rRNA from 1 species
GUCUUAUUGUUAUAAAUUUUAAGUUUGACCUGCCCAUUGAUUUAUAUUUAACGGCCGCAGUAAUUUGACUGUGCUAAGGUAGCAUAAUCAUUAGUUUUUUAAUUGAAAACUGGAAUGAAAGGUUGAAUGAAAAAAAUACUGUCUCUUUUUAAUUUAUUGAAUUUUUCUUUUGAGUUAAAAGUCUUAAAUUUUAUUAAAAGACGAGAAGACCCUUUAGAGUUUUAUAAAUAAUUAAAAUUAUUUUAUUGGGAUAUAUUUUAUGUUUUAUUUUUUUAUUUCGUUGGGGUGAUUAUUAAAUUUAUUAAACUUUAAUUUUUUAUUACAUAGAUUUUUGAAUUUUUUGAUCCGUUAAUAUUGAUUAUUAGAUUAAAUUACCUAAGGGAUAACAGCGUGAUUUUUUUAGAGAGUUCAAAUCGAUAAAAGAGAUUGCGACCUCGAUGUUGGAUUAAAAUUAAAAAUUGGUGUAGAUGCUAAUUAU